rnacentral:rRNA from 1 species
AGUGAACGCUGGCGGUAGGCCUAACACAUGCAAGUCGAACGGCAGCACAGUAAGAGCUUGCUCUUACGGGUGGCGAGUGGCGGACGGGUGAGGAAUACAUCGGAAUCUACUUUUUCGUGGGGGAUAACGUAGGGAAACUUACGCUAAUACCGCAUACAACCUACGGGUGAAAGCAGGGGAUCUUCGGACCUUGCGCGAUUGAAUGAGCCGAUGUCGGAUUAGCUAGUUGGCGGGGUAAAGACCCACCAAGUCGACGAUUCGUAGCUGGUCUGAGAGGAUGAUCGGCCACACUGGAACUGAGACACGGUCCAGACUCCUACGGUAGGCAGCAGUGGGGAAUAUUGGACAAUGGGCGCAAGCCUGAUCCAGCCAUACCGCGUGGGUGAAGAAGGCCUUCGGGUUGUAAAGCCGUUUUGUUGGGAAAGAAAAGCAGCAGGUUAAUACCCCGCUGUUCUGACGGUACCCAAAGAAUAAGCACCGGCUAACUUCGUG